rnacentral:rRNA from 1 species
GACGAACGCUGGCGGCGUGCUUAACACAUGCAAGUCGAACGGAAAGGCCCUGCUUUUGUGGGGUGCUCGAGUGGCGAACGGGUGAGUAACACGUGAGUAACCUGCCCUUGACUUUGGGAUAACUUCAGGAAACUGGGGCUAAUACCGGAUAGGAGCUCCUGCUGCAUGGUGGGGGUUGGAAAGUUUCGGCGGUUGGGGAUGGACUCGCGGCUUAUCAGCUUGUUGGUGGGGUAGUGGCUUACCAAGGCUUUGACGGGUAGCCGGCCUGAGAGGGUGACCGGCCACAUUGGGAAUGAGAUACGGCCCAGACUCCUACGGGAGGCAGCAGUGGGGAAUAUUGCACAAUGGGCGGAAGCCUGAUGCAGCAACGCCGCGUGCGGGGUGACGGCCUUCGGGUUGUAAACCGCUUUCGCCUGUGACGAAGCGUGAGUGACGGUAAUGGGUAAAGAAGCACCGGCUAACUACGUG